GCCCGGUUAGCUCAGUUUGGUAGAGCGUGAGACUUUUAGGGCUCGGAAAACGGCCGAGAAAGGCAUCUUAAGGUCGUGGGUUCGACCCCCACAUCGGGCG